rnacentral:rRNA from 1 species
UACGUAGGGUGCAAGCGUUGUCCGGAAUUAUUGGGCGUAAAGAGCUCGUAGGCGGUUUGUCGCGUCUGCUGUGAAAUCCCGAGGCUCAACCUCGGGCCUGCAGUGGGUACGGGCAAACUAGAGUGCGGUAGGGGAGAUUGGAAUUCCUGGUGUAGCGGUGGAAUGCGCAGAUAUCAGGAGGAACACCGAUGGCGAAGGCAGAUCUCUGGGCCGUAACUGACGCUGAGGAGCGAAAGCGUGGGAGCGAACAGG